UACAGAGGGUGCGAGCGUUGUUCGGAAUUAUUGGGCGUAAAGAGCGCGUAGGCGGUCCGAUAAGUCGGCUGUGAAAGUCCAGGGCUCAACCCUGGAAAGCCGGCCGAUACUGUCGGACUAGAGUCCGGAAGAGGCGAGUGGAAUUCCCGGUGUAGCGGUGAAAUGCGCAGAUAUCGGGAGGAACACUGGUGGCGAAGGCGGUUCUCUGGGCAUGUCCUGACGCUGAGGAGCGAAAGUGUGGGGAGCGAACAGG
rnacentral:rRNA from 1 species